rnacentral:rRNA from 1 species
UACGAAGGGGGCUAGCGUUGCUCGGAAUCACUGGGCGUAAAGGGUGCGUAGGCGGGUCUUUAAGUCAGGGGUGAAAUCCUGGAGCUCAACUCCAGAACUGCCUUUGAUACUGAGGAUCUUGAGUUCGGGAGAGGUGAGUGGAACUGCGAGUGUAGAGGUGAAAUUCGGUAGAUAUUCGCAAGAACACCAGUGGCGAAGGCGGCUCACUGGCCCGAGUACUGACGCUGAGGCACAA